GAAGUGCGAUAAGCAAUGCGAAUUGCAGAACCGUGAGUCAUCAGAUUUUUGAACGCAACUGGCGCCGGUUGGCUCUCCAACCGGCAUGCUUGUUUCAGUGUCUCUUUAUCUCAUCACCCAUAUCAUAAUGCGAGAGAUACCCUUCUCUUGCUAAGCUCGAAAGCACUCUGCGCUCUGCGAGCGGCUUCGACUUGUUCGAGGGUCGCACUCAAUGCAGCCGUCACAUUGCUCACAAUGUGAACUCGUUGAGAACUGAGGCAGUGUAGCGUAAGCUACCAGUGCUUAGUCACACAAACUUUACUUGCAUCUGAAAUCAAGCAGGAUCACCCGCUGAACUUAAGC
rnacentral:misc_RNA from 1 species